AAAGGGGCUUCGGCUCUGAGUAGAGUGGCGAACGGGUGAGUAACACGUGGGUGACCUACCUUCGAAUGGGGGAUAACGUCCCGAAAGGGACGCUAAUACCGCAUAACAUCCUGCUUUUGAAGAGGUGGAGAUCAAAGCUGGGGAUCGCAAGACCUGGCGUUUGAAGAGGGGCCCGCGUCUGAUUAGCUAGUUGGUGAGGUAACGGCUCACCAAGGCAACGAUCAGUAUCCGGCCUGAGAGGGCGGACGGACACACUGGGACUGAGACACGGCCCAGACUCCUACGGGAGGCAGCAGUGGGGAAUUGUUCGCAAUGGGCGCAAGCCUGACGACGCAACGCCGCGUGGAGGAUGAAGGUCUUCGGAUUGUAAACUCCUGUUGCCCGGGACGAAAUGCUUCGACCUAACACGUCGAAGUUUGACGGUACCGGGUGAGGAAGCCCCGGCUAACUCUGUGCCAGCAGCCGCGGUAAUACAGAGGGGGCAAGCGUUGUUCGGAAUUACUGGGCGUAAAGGGCGCGUAGGCGGCCUUCUAAGUCGAACGUGAAAUCCCCGGGCUCAACCCGGGAACUGCGUCCGAUACUGGAAGGCUUGAAUCCGGGAGAGGGAUGCGGAAUUCCAGGUGUAGCGGUGAAAUGCGUAGAUAUCUGGAGGAACACCGGUGGCGAAGGCGGCAUCCUGGACCGGCAUUGACGCUGAGGCGCGAAAGCCAGGGGAGCAAACGGGAUUAGAUACCCCGGUAGUCCUGGCCCUAAACGAUGAAUGCUUGGUGUGGCGGGUAUCGAUCCCUGCCGUG
rnacentral:rRNA from 1 species